GGAAAUUACCAAACUUUGGUGAUAUGUGUUCAUAUUUAAGUUCAUGUUAAACUAUCGUGUAUGGUACCCACACAGAAACCAAAGGGUGGGCUCCAACAGGUGUUCCAAAUGUUGGUCCACACAUGGUGAUGGUUUGUGUCAGGUAUGCCUGCAUAGCUUUGGAUAGUUUUGGGUUUUUUUUUUAAGUAGCUUCAAAAUCUUGCCUCUCCAGGAUUUGGGGAAUAUUGCCUUCUACGCAUUAUCUAAGCAUAGCAGGGGCUGGGGAAAAGACAGCUUGAGAGUAGUUCAUGUACAAAAACUCCAAGAAUUUAAAUAACUGUUAAAUGAGUCUCUGAUGUGAAUAAGCUGCAAAAUGAAGUAAUCGAAUUUAGGCUUUAUAAAUAAAUGAAACAAUAUUUAAAAAAAAUUUUCUCCCCAGAGUAAGCUUUUUAAAAAAGAUCUUUAAGGAGAAUGUUCCCAGUAUGUUCUCAAAUCCUAGGCUUCACUUAAAAUGAAUACUUGUUUUAUUCAAACCUAUAUUCUUUUUCUUUGAAUCCUAGACAUUGAACUAAACCAAAAUGGUAGCCUGUCACAGAACUACUCUCCACGGCCCUACGCUUCCUGUGAUGCUGUAUUCACUAGACACUCAAAGAGCACUCCUGGGACUUUCUGGUGUCUCAGGAACAGGCUCUAGUUUACCUCAAGUUCAAAGAGCCAUUUUCUUCACUGGGGCCUUUCUAUAUCACCAGCCACCCCGCUGUGCAGUUAUGAACGUUCCUCUAAGGUCCAGACCUUUUGGCACCUCUCAGGACGUCAGAAGAAGCUCCUUGAGAAUCAUAGCCUAGCCCUGUUCUGAGUUAUUCCAAAAUGCUGGCCAAAGGUCUGUCAACUACAACUUUGAAGGCCUCAAGGCUUCAGAACUUCCCUCUUGUAAUACACUGGACAACUACAUCCUGAAUGUGUGUAUGUAUACUGGUAAAAAUACUUUUAAAUUUAUAUACAUUGUGACUAAGGGAUUAUAUUUUUUGUAAUUUGUAUUAAUUAAAUAGUAGGACAUGUUCCAUCAGGUGCAUUCAAAGGAUGUCAUCAAGGCAUGGUUUAUAAUAUUGAAUAAUUGCCAGUUAGUUAAAUGACCAAUAUGCUAUUGAGUGUAAAAAGUAGGUGAUAAACUGUAUUUAUAUAGUGAGCCUUGUAUGAUAAAAUAAAAUUAUAUAUAGUGUGAGUGUGUGUGUGUGU
rnacentral:lncRNA from 1 species